rnacentral:rRNA from 1 species
AGAGUUUGAUCCUGGCUCAGGACGAACGCUGGCGGCGUGCCUAAUACAUGCAAGUAGAACGCUGAAGAGAGGAGCUUGCUCUUCUUGGAUGAGUUGCGAACGGGUGAGUAACGCGUAGGUAACCUGCCUUGUAGCGGGGGAUAACUAUUGGAAACGAUAGCUAAUACCGCAUAACAAUGGGUGACACAUGUCAUUUAUUUGAAAGGGGCAAUUGCUCCACUACAAGAUGGACCUGCGUUGUAUUAGCUAGUAGGUGAGGUAACGGCUCACCUAGGCGACGAUACAUAGCCGACCUGAGAGGGUGAUCGGCCACACUGGGACUGAGACACGGCCCAGACUCCUACGGGAGGCAGCAGUAGGGAAUCUUCGGCAAUGGGGGCAACCCUGACCGAGCAACGCCGCGUGAGUGAAGAAGGUUUUCGGAUCGUAAAGCUCUGUUGUAAGUCAAGAACGAGUGUGAGAGUGGAAAGUUCACACUGUGACGGUAGCUUACCAGAAAGGGACGGCUAACUACGUGCCAGCAGCCGCGGUAAUACGUAGGUCCCGAGCGUUGUCCGGAUUUAUUGGGCGUAAAGCGAGCGCAGGCGGUUUGAUAAGUCUGAAGUUAAAGGCUGUGGCUCAACCAUAGUUCGCUUUGGAAACUGUCAAACUUGAGUGCAGAAGGGGAGAGUGGAAUUCCAUGUGUAGCGGUGAAAUGCGUAGAUAUAUGGAGGAACACCGGUGGCGAAAGCGGCUCUCUGGUCUGUAACUGACGCUGAGGCUCGAAAGCGUGGGGAGCGAACAGGAUUAGAUACCCUGGUAGUCCACGCCGUAAACGAUGAGUGCUAGGUGUUGGAUCCUUUCCGGGAUUCAGUGCCGCAGCUAACGCAUUAAGCACUCCGCCUGGGGAGUACGACCGCAAGGUUGAAACUCAAAGGAAUUGACGGGGGCCCGCACAAGCGGUGGAGCAUGUGGUUUA